rnacentral:misc_RNA from 1 species
AAUCGAGAACUGUAAGCAACAAAUGUUUGGUUUCCAGCUUGAGGUUCAAUUUCAUGGUUCCCUUCUACCACCAUUACUGGAACUUUAGAAACUAAAUACUGCAUAAACCUUCCCCAAUAAUCCCAACGAGGCUGGUAGGUCUCAUGUAUGGGGGUUUCUGAAAAUGAGCAAGAAUAACAGUCGGAACCAGUUCCAUUUGUGAGGUACAGAUUUGCAUAAGUCACAUCACCCACCAGCAGAACAAGUUCAGGCUUGUUUCGAAUCACAUUACUGAUUGUGGUGGUUGUAUUGAAUGUGAGUCCAAGAUCUCCCAUAACUGCUAUUCUGCUAGGAUAGCUACUUGGACCAGAAACUGGCAUAGUCUUGAAAGAGUAAAUACCACUCAAGGCUUCUAUAGAAGGAUCUCCACAUCGAUAAUAAUAUUUUGUGUCAGGUUUUAACCCAGCGAGACGAACAUGGUGGAUGAUUCCAGAAGUGUAGUUCUGGAGACCUUCAAAGGGAUAAAGCUGGUUGUAAACAAGAGAAUAACCCUUUGCUUCAUGAUUCAGUGGAAAUCUUAACUUCCCAUAACGAACAACGCUGGCAACACUUGUAGGGUCUAGUGGCGUUAUGUUGUAACCAAUUUGGAAUGCCCCUGUAAUCCAGGAGAUCCAAACAGAAUCAUAAGAGGCAGAAAGAGAGACCGAUAUCUGUUCAGGCUCGAAUCCUUUGACUCGGCGACGAACACGUGAAUCGGUGGCAGGCAAAUCAACGGCGUUGCCACGCAAGCUGACGUCAAAAGGAACAGUGACGGGCUGAAAUGGGCCAUCCAAAGUGGAAGGAAUCUCGGCAUAGACAGAAAAAGCAGUAGGUAAAAGCAGAACCAAAGUUCUGAUAAGAAAAGCCGCAAAAACAGAGCAUCCCCGAAACUCCAUGGUCAACGAAGUUCCAUGGACAUCAAAACAAAAGAAGGAAAAAGCAGCAGCGUUGAAUGGAGAGAGUGGGAUAGAAUUUUGAAGAGAAAAAGAUAAGGAGAAAUGGAUUGCGAAGCGAAGAAAAAGAGGGAAGGAGACUCUGGAUUCCAC